ACGUACAAGCAGUAGGAGCCCUUCGAGGGUGACUGCGUACCUUUUGUAUAAUGGGUCAGCGACUUAUAUUUUGUAGCGAGGUUAACCGAUUAGGGUAGCCGUAGGGAAACCGAGUCUUAACUGGGCGCAUAGUUGCAAGGUAUAGACCCGAAACCCGGUGAUCUAGCCAUGGGCAGGUUGAAGGUUGAGUAACAUCAACUGGAGGACCGAACCCACUAACGUUGAAAAGUUAGGGGAUGACCUGUGGCUAGGAGUG
rnacentral:rRNA from 1 species